UACAGAGGGUGCAAGCGUUAAUCGGAAUUACUGGGCGUAAAGCGCACGUAGGUGGAUGCUUAAGUCGAAUGUGAAACCCCCGAGCUUAACUUGGGGACUGCAUGCGAUACUGAGCAUCUAGAGUAUAGUAGAGGGAAGUGGAAUUCCGGAGUAGCGGUGAAAUGCGUAGAUAUCGGAAGGAACACCAGUGGCGAAGGCGGCUUCCUGGGCUAAUACUGACACUGAGGUGCGAAAGCGUGGGGAGCAAACAGG
rnacentral:rRNA from 1 species